AUGCCAUGAUGUGGGCACUUCCUUAACGUUUUGAACCUCUCCCAAGCAUCACACAUCGAAUGAUCCUCCAACUGUUGAAAACAAAUAAUCUCAUUCCUAAACUU